rnacentral:rRNA from 1 species
CCUACGGGUGGCAGCAGUGAGGAAUAUUGGUCAAUGGGCGCAAGCCUGAACCAGCCAUGCCGCGUGCAGGAUGACGGCCCUAUGGGUUGUAAACUGCUUUUGUACGGGAAGAAACACUGCUUCGUGAAGGAGCUUGACGGUACCGUAAGAAUAAGGAUCGGCUAACUCCGUGCCAGCAGCCGCGGUAAUACGGAGGAUCCAAGCGUUAUCCGGAAUCAUUGGGUUUAAAGGGUCUGUAGGCGGUCUUGUAAGUCAGUGGUGAAAGCCCAUCGCUCAACGGUGGAACGGCCAUUGAUACUGCAGGACUUGAAUUAUUGGGAAGCAACUAGAAUAUGUAGUGUAGCGGUGAAAUGCUUAGAGAUUACAUGGAAUACCAAUUGCGAAGGCAGGUUGCUACCAAUGGAUUGACGCUGAUGGACGAAAGCGUGGGUAGCGAACAGGAUUAGAUACCCGUGUAGUC